rnacentral:rRNA from 1 species
GUGAAAGAAGUUUAUAUUUUUUUUAAAAAGAAAAAUUUAUUUUUUGUACCUUGUGUAUCAGGGUUUAUUAAAAUAUUUUAUAUUUUUAAAAAUUUCGAAAUUAAAAGGGUCAAAAAAAUAAGGAUUUUAUUGUUGAAUAAAUAUUUUUAAUUUUUUUUUAGUAAUGAAAUGUUAUUCGUUUUUAAUUAUAUCUAAUUCUUUAAGAAAUAAAUUAAAUUUAUUUAUUAAUAAUAAUUUUAUAAAUUAUUAUUUUAUUGUUAUUAGUAUAAAAAAUUUUUAGGGAUGAGCUUAAAAAUUUAUUGUUAUUAAAUUAUAAGAGUUGUUAUAAUAUUAGGAUUAGUAAUUUUCUUAUUUUUAUGUAUAUUAUUAUUUAUAAUUGAUUAAUUAUAAUUUAUAUUAUUUAUAAAUUUUUUAUUAAAGUAUAAAUUUUAAAGGUAAAAAUUUAGUAUUAAUGAUAAAAUUAGUAAAUAGUUAUGUAAAUUUAUAUGAAAAAUAUAGGUAAAAUAAAGGAAUUCGGCAAAUUAAAUUUUCACCUGUUUAUUAAAAACAUGUCUUUUUGUGUAUAAUUUAAAGUCGGGCCUGCCCACUGAGAGUUAAAUGGCCGCGGUAUUUUGACCGUGCUAAGGUAGCAUAAUCAUUAGUUUUUUAAUUGAAAGCUAGAAUGAAGGGUUUGAUGAAAAAUUGACUGUCUCUAUUUUAAUUAUGAAUUUUAUUUUUAAGUUAAAAAGCUUAAAUAUAAUUAUAAGACGAGAAGACCCUAUAGAGUUUUAUAAAUGUAAGAUAAUUUUUAAUUUAGAAUUUAAUUUAUAAUUAUUUUAUAUUUAUUUAAUUGGGGUGAUUAAAAAAUUUAAUAAACUUUUUUUGUAUUUUAAUAUUUUAAAUAAAUUAUUGAUCCGAUAGUGUCGAUUAUAAGAUAAAGUUACCUUAGGGAUAACAGCGUAAUUUUAUUGGAGAGUUCAAAUUAAUAAUAAAGAUUGCGACCUCGAUGUUGGAUUAAAAUUUAUAUUAGGUGUAGAAGCUUAAUGAUUAAGUCUGUUCGACUUUUAAAAUUUUACAUGAUCUGAGUUUAAACCGGUGUAAGCCAGGUUGGUUUCUAUCUUUAAUUUUUUAAUUUAUUUUAGUACGAAAGGACCAAUUAAAUAGAAAAAUUUUUAGUAUUGAUAAAGAAUA